rnacentral:rRNA from 1 species
CGGACGGGUGAGUAAUGUCUGGGAAACUGCCUGAUGGAGGGGGAUAACUACUGGAAACGGUAGCUAACACCGCAUAACGUCGCAAGACCAAAGAGGGGGACCUUCGGGCCUCUUGCCAUCGGAUGUGCCCAGAUAGGAUUAGCUAGUAGGUGGGGUAACGGCUCACCUAGGCGACGAUCCCUAGCUGGUCUGAGAGGAUGACCAGCCACACUGGAACUGAGACACGGUCCAG